rnacentral:rRNA from 1 species
AAUGAACGCUGGCGGCGUGCCUAACACAUGCAAGUCGGAUGUGCCGCAAGGUGCAUGGCAGACGGGUGAGUAACGCGUAGGAAUCUACCCAGUAGCGGGGGAUAGCCCGGGGAAACUCGGAUUAAUACCGCAUACGCCCUAAGGGGGAAAGCAGGGGAUCGUAAGACCUUGCACUAUUGGAAGAGCCUGCGUUGGAUUAGCUAGUUGGUAGGGUAAAGGCCUACCAAGGCGACGAUCCAUAGCUGGUCUGAGAGGAUGAUCAGCCACACCGGAACUGAGACACGGUCCGGACUCCUACGGGAGGCAGCAGUGGGGAAUAUUGGACAAUGGGGGGCAACCCUGAUCCAGCCAUGCCGCGUGUGUGAAGAAGGCCUUCGGGUUGGUAAAGACACUUUAAGUGGGGACGGAUGAUGACGGUACCCGCAGAAGAAGCCCCGGCUAACUUCGUGCCAGCAGCCGC